UACAUGAGGGAAAUACACACCCCUCCCAUGGAUGAUGGAAGGUUAAGGUCCUAACGCCUCCUGCACAUCUGAGCAGCUGCACAUUGAACCAGAUAGUCCUGGAAUGUGGGACAACAGAGGCAGACUCAAGAGUCUGGAACGUUAUUUUAGGAUCACACAAAAAGAUACAUGAUUUUCAUAGGGGUGAGUCUGUUACAGCAAUGGGAUGCUCAGGUUAAGUUUAAGAUCACUAUGAGACUGGACUGGAACAUUACCUUCAGAGCCACCUCCCACUACCCAGUCUGCAGUGCCAGAAAACUGGAAAUCAGCCCCUAAGCUGCUUUCACCUUCGGCCCAUUUCUCACUAGCCAGCCUCUCCCACGGCCUCCCCAGUUUCUUCAAAUACACCCCCUCCACUAUUCACCAUACUGCCACCGUGAUUUACAACUUUUUGUCCAGAUUACCUCAGUAGCCUUCUAAUUGUCCCCUUUGCAUCUAAAGUAGCCCCUUCACUCUUCUACAUAAUUCUGGCUUUCCAUGACCCAUAACCACAUUUCUCAAGUGUGCUCUAUGCUGGCUUGAAUAUGUUAAUGAUCUUAAUUCUACUUUUAGUGCAAUUUUCUUAGAGCUGGCAUCACUUUCAUCAUGACGUGAGAACUUACUAGAGAUAGGCAAUGAUGACUCACAGUCAAGCCACAUGUCAUAUGCUGCAGACAUCUGGACUGCUGCUUAUUUGCAAAUCCUUUUCUUCAUAUUUUUCUCAUUUGUAGCACUGGAUCAAUUCCAAUUAAGAGUUUAAUAAUGAAUUAACUAAUGAUUUAAACAGGUGGAUAAGACUAACAAACACUGAACCAAUGAUUUUAAGUAAACCUAAAUACAAUACAUAAAUCCCCCCAAAUUAUUAAUCUAUGUUGUUUACUAAGAAGUGUAUUAAAAUAAUAUUGAAAAAGCUUGCUUUGUGAAA
rnacentral:lncRNA from 1 species